GGGGGUGUAGCUCAUUUGGCAGAGCGCGUCAUUAGCAUUCAUCAACUGAGUGGAUUUGACGAGGUACUGAGUUCAAUUCUUAGCUCCUCCA
rnacentral:tRNA from 2 species